rnacentral:rRNA from 1 species
AUUGAACGCUGGCGGCAGGCCUAACACAUGCAAGUCGAACGAGUGGCGGACGGGUGAGUAAUGUCUGGGAAACUGCCCGAUGGAGGGGGAUAACUACUGGAAACGGUAGCUAAUACCGCAUACCAUCGGAUGUGCCCAGAUGGGAUUAGCUAGUAGGUGGGGUAACGGCUCACCUAGGCGACGAUCCCUAGCUGGUCUGAGAGGAUGACCGCCCACACUGGAACGGAGACACGGUCCAGACCCCAAGUGAGGGAGGCGUUGGGAAAUAUGGCACAAGGGGCGCAGGCUGGUGGCGGCCAUGCCGCGGGUAUGAAGAAGGCUUUCGGGUUGUAAAGUCCUUUCAGCGAGGAGAGGUUACUCGCGGAAGAAGCACCGGCUAACUCCGUGCCAGCAGCGGGGGUAAUA